ensembl:snRNA U6 U6 spliceosomal RNA
GUACUUGCUUUGGCAGCACAUAGAGUAAAAUCGGAAUGAUGCAGAGAUUAGCAUGGUCAUGUACAAAGGUUACAUGCAAGUUUGGGAAGCAUUCCAUUUUUCU